rnacentral:ncRNA from 20 species
UUAUCAAUACAACUAAUUGCCUAUAUAAUGCCAUGAUAUGGAUGGCGAGUUUCUACCCAGUGCCGUAAACACUGGACUAUAAGCGAAUUGAGUCGACGG